GCUUGUCUAGCUCAGUUGGUAGAGCGUAAGGUUUUUAACCUUAAGGUUGUGGGUUCGAGCCCUACUGUGAGUG
rfam:Zea mays cultivar B73 chromosome 1, whole genome shotgun sequence.